AUUGAACGCUGUCGGCAGGCCUAACACAUGCAAGUCGAGCUAGCGGCGGACGGGUGAGUAAUGUCUGGGAACCUGCCUGCUGGAGGGGGAUAACUACUGUAAACUUUAGCUAAUACCGCAUACCAUCAGCUUUGCCCAGAUGGGAUUAGCUAGUAGGUGGGGUAACGGCUCACCUAGGCGACGAUCCCUAGCUGGUCUGAGAGGAUGACCAGCCACACUGGAACUGAGACACGGUCCAGACUCCUACGGGAGGCAGCAGUGGGGAAUAUUGCACAAUGGGCGCAAGCCUGAUGCAGCCAUGCCGCGUGUGUGAAGAAGGCCGUCGGGUUGUAAUGCACUUUCAGCGGGGAGGCGGUACCCGCAGAAGAAGAACCGGCUAACUCCGUGCCAGCAGCCGCGGUAAUUC
rnacentral:rRNA from 1 species